AACAACAUUAUAUAAUUAUAAAACAGAUUCUUUUUUAUUAGCGUUAAAUUGUAGUAAUUUUCCAACUAUAACAUGUAUUAAACAAAUAUCUUCGCCAGCCGGAUGCCACCCGCCAGUUUGAGACCACAAGUAUAUGUUUUGGUAACUAAAGUUUGAAACGUGUAAUAUAUCGAUAUCGACGUUAAAACAUUAUGAUAAUGAGAGAACUUUUAAUCUCGUGCAACGUUUAGACUGCUUAAAUAUAACAUUGGACAGAUAAGAUGAUAUCGAUGGUCAACUCUCAUCUUUUUCAUGAUCGAAAAACGAAAUUGCCUAAUUAAUCGAAUCGAGUUAGUCAUUUUACGGACAUUUUAAAGGUAAGUGCUCAGAAUAUCGAGGAAACAAGAAUAGCGCACCGAUCGAAAGAUGAUGAUAAACUGAAUGAACUUUCAAAAAGAACCAUACCCAUAUCUGAUGCGGACGACGAGAAAAUGGAUAAUGAAAUUAAAGUACUUCCUCGAACGUAGUUCCUAAAUCGAUGCGCGCCACCAUCUUGAAAACAACCAUCUUUACUUAAAACAGAGAAAGUUUGUGGAAUGAAUCUUUGGAUAAAAAUUUAUUUCACCUCUAAGCGAUUAAGCCAGCUGUAUCGCAUACUGUUGAAGUAUGUUAUGACGAGUUAAAUAAAUUAUCCAUACUGUGUCUUGUGCCGAUUUUAAUUUACACCUUUCGUCUGCUGUUUUUGAUGGAUUUUACAUAUUUGUUUCGAGCGCGCGACGCGAGAAGUAUCUAAGGUUAGUGAGCUAACCAUACAAGAGAAGCCGUAGAUUUCGAGUCGAAACGUGAGGUUAAUAAAGUUUGUGAUAGAUGGCGCUGCAGUCUCGGCUCGACGUGACUGAUCGCUUAGAGGUGAAGCAAAAUUUUUACCGAUGUUCGAUUGUAUUCCUGUUGAUUUUCGCGAUUCUGAUCUUUUUGAGCAUCCUUUUGAACUUCGUACACAUUUCAUUCGAAGAGUCGUAAAAUAUUGGGAUUUUCAAAUAUAUUUUUUUUUCAUAAUAGCGUGCCAUUAUGCAACACUAGCGAUUCGUAAAAGAAAACGAAAAUAUUUAAAAAUUAUAUCAAAUUUAAUAAAAAAGUUUUUCCUGUACAAAAGCUC
rnacentral:lncRNA from 1 species